UGAAAGAUGCCAGUAAGGAAUCCCAUCACUUGAGGAAGUGAUGCAUAUUUUUUUCUAAGUCACAGUAAUUCACCUUGUAUGGUAGUGACAGAGUAAGAAAAAUAUUAUUUCUAACAGAGCACAGUCAGUGCUCCUGGCAGGGGUGUGGGAAGGAGAUUACCUCUUGUCUUCAUGACAGUUUUUCUUGUUAAGAUGCUAAAUUUAAUUGUCUUCUUCCAGGGUUUUUAAUAGACAUACAGCUGAUGUUUCAGGGAAAUUAAAGUCAAUUGCUUUUGGAUAUACCGUAACUUCAGCUAGGCAUGCUUUUAUUUUUUCUUCUUAUGAACUUAAUAAAAAACUAUCAGCAAAUAAAUGGCUAUCAUCUGCAGCUGGAGCAGUAAGAUUUUCAAACAUCUGAUUUUCUGUUGCUGUAGGACAUUGGGAUUCAUGGAAUUGAUUAGCCUUAGGUGUCCGGUUACCUACUGGAUUUCCAUGUUGCAGUUGCUCGAGCGGUGGAGGAGUAGACAAAAUUUCUAAGUUCUAAUGUUGAUUCUGUGAUCCACAUGACUCUUGCUAUGUUACACCGAUUAGACCAGAGAUAUCAAAGAGCUUAUAAGCUAUGCAUGAGCUCUUAUUAAUUGGUAGAUACUGCAUGAACUUCUGUGUUGAGAGCUGUCCCUGUGUGUAUCAGGAGAGAGAUUUCCAGGCCUGGGAUCUGAAAUACCUGGGACCGCUGAUAAAGAUGGGAGCUCCUGAAGAAGCCACAGUGCUGGGGAGUUUCCAGGAAGAAGACAUUCUUGUGCAGAGGCCUGGAGAAUCCCUGCUUCUCAUUUCGAUUUACUGUAGUAACGUUUAAUUAUUUUAAAAAAGGUUGUGGAGACUACUUUUUAUUAUAUACUUUUGUGGUGAUGGUUAUAUAAAUGUGUUUAUCUCUUAAAAUUCAUAGAACUGCCCACCAAAAAAAUAAAUUUUUACACACAAUAAUUUUGAAAUAAUAUUAAAAAGGAAAAUAUAAAAUACAUGGUAUAAAUGAUUCCCAAAUAUAAUAUGAAAACUUUUAAUGUAAUUGUCAUAUGGCUUAUCUGAUGACUUAAAUGCCAAGGCAAAGUAGGCAUUAGACUUCCUGAUUGUUUUCUGUUCAUGGAUAAACAUUACCCAUGAAUAUAUUUAUUUAAAAUUAUCUAUAUAGCAAUAUGUUUACACAAAUUUGAUAAUAAUAUACUUGUUUAUACAACUUGAACUUUCCUUUGAUGUUAUUUCUUAGCCAUGUUUCACUUUCCAUGCAUGUAGGACUACCUCAUUUCAUUUAAUGACUAUGAAUAAUUUCAUGACAUAAACCUAGUAAUUUAACUCUAUUCAUUAAACCUUACAAUCUAUGUUUAUUUUAGAUCACUCUAAAACAUGAAUAAAUCAAAGUAUAACUUCGGUUAUUCACCUCAGUAGCGUUGUCUCUGUCUGCAUCUUGCUCUAGCUUGAGGCGCAGAAAGUGAAAUAAAAUAAUGUACUAGAUUUCCAAAAACCGAGAAACAUGGAACAAACUGAUUUUUAAGUGGCCUGAUAGUUGUACUAGGAAGUAAUAUGCUCAAUAUGUUUUUCUUCAGUAACUACAUUUUAGGGAUUUCUAAAUUUAAAGCAGGAUUAUUAUCUGAAAGAAAGUACUGGAAUACUCAAAAGAAUGUCCAAAAAUCCUAGAAGCACAGGGAAUAUAGCAUAUUUAUGUCCUGUUGAUUGAGUAUAUUCAUCAUUCAGAACCAUGAUAGACAGCAAAAUUCCAGCAACAUUAUCCUUUAAUAAUAGUAUGCAUUUAAUCUAAGUUUAAGAAAUCUAAGAUUAUUUUUCUUUCUUUGCUCCUUCCAAGAAUUCAGUUCCAACUUGAUUUGUGAGUGGAAUGAAGGUUCAGAGAUAGUAUUCAGUUAAAUUUUUAACCAAGACACAGAAAAACAGGAAUUCUUCUUCAGACUUGCAGUAUAUGUUUGUUUCACCAGAGAUCGACUGUUGGAUGUCUUUGGUUUGGAAUUGCUUGUAUAUCCAAUAUGUUCCAUAAGAAUGGACUUAAAUGCACCCUCUUGAAUAAUUGGACAUAUAGCAAUUAUGUAAUUCAACUCUUAUCCUCCUCCAUUUACCCCAACACGUCCAGAGUUCUCCUUUCUGGGACUCAGCAGCCAUAUUCUCUAUGAUAUCCCAAAGAUUUCCAUUUCUUAGGAAGUAGAAA
ensembl:lncRNA